UUCUUUAAGUAAAUUAAUUAAAGUAAAGCCUGCUCAAUGACAAGAAUAAAUAGCCGCAGUUUACUGUGCUAAGGUAGCAUAAUAAUUUGCUUCUUAAUUAGGAGAUAGAAUGAAGGGUUACACAUUUAAAACCUGUCUCUUUUGAAUACAAUUUAACUUAAGAAAGAAGUCAAAACUCUUUUUUAAAAACGGGACGACAAGACCCUUAUAAACUCAUCAUUUAGUUGGGGAAACAAAACAAUAAAUAUUUAUCUUAAUAAAUACACAACUUUAAAAAAAAUAAAGAUAUAGUUACUAAAGGGAUAACAGCGCAAUUUCUUUUAAAAGCCCUUAUUUAAAAAGAAGCUUACGACCUCGAUGUUGAAUUAAUUUUACUGUUUAGAGCAAAAGCGUAACAAGUUAGUCUGUUCGACUAUUAAAAAAUU
rnacentral:rRNA from 1 species